rnacentral:rRNA from 1 species
AAAAAAAAAAACUCCUAGCAACGGAUCUGUUGGCUCUCGCAUCGAUGAAGAACGCAGCGAAUCGCGAUACGUAUUACGACUUGCAGACGUGAGGCAUCAAUCUUUGAACGCACAUUGCGCCUUGGAGCAUUCUCCAAGGCAUGCCUGGGUGAGCGUCGAUUUUCCUCAGGCCCCCCCCGGCCUGGUUUUGUCGCGCAACUCCACAAUCAAGAUUACCGUCUUGACCUCAUCCAGGUAGGACUACCCGCUGAACUUAAGCAUAUCAAUAAGCGGAGGAAAAGAAACCAACCGGGAUUGCCCCAGUAACGGCGAGUGAAGCGGCAAAAGCUCAAAUUUGUAAUCCUGCGGGAGUUGUAAUUUGAAGGCCGGCAGCGCCGCCAGAACGUCUUUCGAAGUCCAUUGGAACAUGGCGCCAGGGAGGGUGACAGCCCCGUGCGAAAGAAGGUUUUGGUGGAGCUCGUUGCCGACCAAAGAGUCGAGUUGUUUGGGAAUGCAGCUCAAACAGGUGGUAAAUCCCAUCUAAAGCUAAAUACCGGCGAGAGACCGAUAGCGAACAAGUACAGUGAUGGAAAGAUGAAAAGCACUUUGAAAAGAGAGUGAAACAGUACGUGAAAUUGCUGGGAGGGAAGGGCUUGCAAGCAGACACGGGUCAAACCGGGCCAGCAUCAGGUGGCUGGGU